rnacentral:rRNA from 1 species
UACGGAGGGUGCGAGCGUUAUCCGGAAUUACUGGGUUUAAAGGGUGCGUAGGCGGCCAUGUAAGUCAGGAGUGAAAGUUUGCGGCUCAACCGUAAAAUUGCUUUUGAUACUGCAUGGCUGGAAUCAGGAUGAGGUCAGCGGAAUGUGGCAUGUAGCGGUGAAAUGCAUAGAUAUGCCAUAGAACACCAAUUGCGAAGGCAGCUGGCUAGACCUGGAUUGACGCUGAGGCACGAAAGCGUGGGGAGCGAACAGG